rnacentral:lncRNA from 1 species
GGCUGGGGAGGGACUGGGUUAGAGCCAUGAGAACCAUCGGGUCUUGAAUGAUUCUGUGCCUGGGGAGGUGUGGUGUGGGGGAUCCCCAGGCCAUGGGGAAAUGUCGUCUUCCCUGCCCAAGGCUGUGUUGUGACGGCGGCAUGUCUGGGCAAGGGAGAUGGCGCCUCUUUCGUUCUGGCCGCAGAUCUGCUUGGUGGCUAAGACCCUGGAGGCCCUCCCUGAUUUGGAAGUUGCCAUCCCAACUCCUGGUGCUCCCGGUCAGCUCAGCAUCCACCGUUCUCUUUGUAAGUUGCAUGUAAACGUGGCAGGAUGCACACACACGGACACACACACACUAAGUGUGCAAGAGUGAAAUAGAGGUGGUGAAUUAAAACCCGUGACUGCGCUGAAACAAAAAGAAAGAAGAAAGAAAGAAAUCCAAGAACAGACACACAAGCAAAAGUGGCAGAAGUCCCGAGGGGAUGCAUGAGGGCAUUUCAAGGAAGAUGCGCAAAGGACAGACAUGGGCCAGUUCCAGGUGCACAGAGCCCCAGACCUGAAGCAGACAAGAGGUGGGACC